rnacentral:rRNA from 1 species
AGUGAACGCUGGCGGUAGGCCUAACAUAUGCAAGUCGAACGGCAGCACAGUAAGAGCUUGCUCUUACGGGUGGCGAGUGGCGGACGGGUGAGGAAUACAUCGGAAUCUACUUUUUCGUGGGGGAUCACGUAGGGAAACUUACGCUAAUACCGCAUACGACCUACGGGUGAAAGCAGGGGAUCUUCGGACCUUGCGCGAUUGAAUGAGCCGAUGUCGGAUUAGCUAGUUGGCGGGGUAAAGGCCCACCAAGACGACGAUCCGUAGCUGGUCUGAGAGGAUGAUCAGCCACACUGGAACUGAGACACGGUCCAGACUCCUACGGGAGGCAGCAGUGGGGAAUAUUGGACAAUGGGCGCAAGCCUGAUCCAGCCAUACCGCGUGGGUGAAGAAGGCCUUCGGGUUGUAAAGCCCUUUUGUUGGGAAAGAAAAGCAGCAGGUUAAUACCCCGCUGUUCUGACGGUACCCAAAGAAUAAGCACCGGCUAACUUCGUG